UACGGGGGAUGCAAGCGUUAUUCGGAAUUAUUGGGCGUAAAGGGCGCGUAGGCGGUUUUAAAAGUCAGGUGUGAAAGCCCGGGGCUUAACCCCGGAAGAGCAUUUGAAACUAUAAGACUUGAGUACGGUAGAGGAGAGCGGAAUUCCUGGUGUAGAGGUGAAAUUCGUAGAUAUCAGGAGGAACACCGGUGGCGAAGGCGGCUUUCUGGGCCUGUACUGACGCUGAGGCGCGAAGGCGUGGGUAGCGAACAGG
rnacentral:rRNA from 1 species